UGCGUACCUUUUGUAUAAUGGGUCAGCGACUUAUAUUCUGUAGCAAGGUUAACCGAAUAGGGGAGCCGGAGGGAAACCGAGUCUUAAUUGGGCGUUAAGUUGCAGGGUAUAGACCCGAAACCCGGUGAUCUAGCCAUGGGCAGGUUGAAGGUUGGGUAACACUAACUGGAGGACCGAACCGACUAAUGUUGAAAAAUUAGCGGAUGACCUGUGGCUGGGGGUGAAAGGCCAAUCAAACCGGGAGAUAGCUGGUUCUCCCCGAAAGCUAUUUAGGUAGCGCCUCGUGAAUUCAUCUCCGGGGGUAGAGCACUGUUUCGGCUAGGGGGCCAUCCCGGCUUACCAACCCGAUGCAAACUGCGAAUACCGGAGAAUGUUAUCACGGGAGACACACGGCGGGUGCUAACGUCCGUCGUGAAGAGGGAAACAACCCAGACCGCCAGCUAAGGUCCCAAAGUCAUGGUUAAGUGGGAAACGAUGUGGGAAGGCCCAGACAGCCAGGAUGUUGGCUUAGAAGCAGCCAUCAUUUAAAGAAAGCGUAAUAGCUCACUGGUCGAGUCGGCCUGCGCGGAAGAUGUAACGG
rnacentral:rRNA from 1 species